AAGACACGAGCAGAGCAGGGAAGUAAGUAACUCCGCUUUGACGGGAGUUUUUGAGUAAGGUCUUCAGGUGGGCAAUAUUUUGAGUAUACAAAUAUUAUACGAGCUUUCUAAAAUGAUUUGAUGAUGUUAUGAGAUUAACAAAUGAUUUGAGAUAAAUGAUGUUUGAGAACUGUUUGACUUGCCAAUUUUUGAUGUUGAGCUUGUAUGUUACCCUCUACUGAUGAGAUGAGACGAAUUCGGGUCCUGGGCAGUUGAUAGCUAUCCUGCCAGGGCUAAUGUGCACAGAGGUGACUGUGAGCCGUUGAGCGAAUCGGCCGGUCACGGUACUUGAGAGGAAGGCCUACUUCUCAGUACCUUUGAUGAUGAUGAGUUGUAGAUGUGGUACAUACAUGUUGAGAUCUUUGACUGCAGUCGUUUACUUAUGAUGUCAUGAUUAUGAAAACUGCAUGCACAGAUUCAUUUACGCUAACUUUAUUUCUGUGUAUUGCUGAGAUGUGGCAAGUUUCAAACCUAUAGCUCUAAGAGCACCUUUCUUGUUUUUCGGCGUUUGCCCACUGAGUAUUAUGUACUCACGCCCUGCAUGUAUUUCUAAAUGUGCAGGCUAAGCGAGGAGCGAGAUUGGUCUGGUGCUGGCGGGGAAUUGUUAGAGGAUGUAUUUACUUUAUCGUAUUUCCAUUUUGACGAUAAAGUCUUGAUAAUUGAUAUACUUGGAUUUUCUUUUGAAGUUAAGCAAUGUACUCACGGUUAUAUGUCUUCAUACAUAUAAUCGAUUCGCCUUUUGCUGCGAUACUCUGCAUAUUAUGAUUCCUUACGAAAAAUGAGCGAUACCCGUUUUGUUUUUGAUCUUG
rnacentral:lncRNA from 1 species